rnacentral:misc_RNA from 1 species
AAACAAAAUCCCCAGCAGAUCCUGAUUAUACAAUUCCAUAUUAACUAAAAAAGAAAAAACAAAAAAGAACAAUCUCUUUGGGUUAAUAUAAUUUUUGAUUAUUCUCUUACUCUACUAAUCAAUUUCAAUUACCUUUACAAGAAAUAAAUUUCCUUGGACCUCAAUACGGUGUCGUUGUACCCUCAAACCCUAGCGGAAACAGCAGCGGGGCCAGAGGUAGGGGCGGCGCCGGCCAAGAAAGAGAGAAACCCAGUUGCCGGAGACUCCUGAUCGUCAAGGAAAAGAUCUUCAGGAACCCUAAAAGCAGCAUGUGUACACA